AUGGAGUGCAGCUUUAAAUGCCAGCUCUGCCUCGACACAUUUAGAAGGCUGGGCUAUUACAAGAGGCACAUAUUAUCAGAUGUACAUCACCAGAAACUGAAAAACCUUUUCCCAAAUGAUAAGUUUCAGAAUGCUGCCAAAGGUGUACCCCAUAUCAUUUUUGCGGAUCCAGAAAAAAAGAAUUGCUUCAAACAUCCCAUUGUGGGCUUGUCUGCGCUGACUCUGUGUUUCAGUCCACAGUCAUGGUCUUCGUUUUACUUGUGUCACAUCUGUGCCGAGAAGCAUUUACCUAGUGAUGUUUUAAGGCACUUCUUUUCUAUGGACCAUUACAGCAACUACAUUAAUUGCAUGGAUCCCAAUGCAAUGAGUUUCUCCUGGAUCCCCAGCAAGCAAAUGAAAGAGACUGAACUCAAAAACAGAGUAAAAGAAGAAGGGCCUAUGGACUUGCAGAUGCUGCAUUUACCUGAUCAUCUUAUGGAAAAGCUAAUAACCUGCACCUACUCAGAAGUGAUGCUCACUCUAGGUGAAAAUGAGAAGCUUCUCAAGCUGAUUCAAGCUUUCAAGCCAGAGAGGAAGACGAUCCUGGCUUACCAAAAAGACAGCAACAGGAAGCAUCCGCUUCUUGGCAUGCAGCACCUCGUCGAGUGCAUUUGUGUCGGAGCAGAGGAGGAGAAGUAUUACCUCUGCACGCUCUGUGGCCUUACAGUGGCCGCCCACGUGAUCAUCAAACACAUCCUGAGCUUUGACCACAUCUUUUGGUAUUUUAAAGAGUGGCAUCCCUCUACAUUGAUGUCAAAAGAGUGCUACACAGACUACACGCCCUCCUUUGAAUCCAUGAUGCUUGACUUGGCAAAGCAGACGGAGAAGAUUCAUGGAGAAAAUGAUUUGAAACGAGUGAGCCUGGAGCCUGCUGAAUUCAAGUCCAUAAACUUUAAUAGCUACCCAGAAGCUUUGACGACCCUGAACUUGAUCAAGAAGUGCAGCUUGAAACCAGCCAUCAAACCAGGGAAGAAGCUGGAGUAUCAUGCUGUCAAAAAUCAGUCAGCACCUGCAAGCGAACCUUCAAAGCUGCUCACAUACUACCCAAGAUGUAAACUGCUGUGUCAGGACUGCCGUGUGACGUUGAAAAGCAUAUCUCAAUAUCUCAAUCAUCUGUCAAAACCAAUACACAAGGAGAUCUUGUGGAAACUCUUUGAAGAAGGAUCUGAAGGCUAUGAGAAAAAAGCUCAGUUUUUCCUUCACUUACACUCGUAUGUCAUGGAGUGCUUCAAGAAAAAACAGCCAGUCAUUGGUACAUCCUUGAUUGUGUCCUGCAUUACCACAGAAGCUCAGGCAGAGCCUUUUUACAUAUGCUUUGCUUGUCAGGAGUGUGUCUGUCAGUCCUUGAUCGAGCCACACUUAAACUCCCGAAAACAUGUUGUACACACGCUGCUGUUUGAGAAUCCCUGGCGGCUGCCUUUCGGCUGGGAGAAUCUGCAGGAUGAUCAAACACUAAAGUCAAAGGCGUGGGAGGAGGAGAUGGAGAGAAGACCAAAGGAGGUGGUUCUGAAGGUUCUUGAUAUGCCAUGGUCAGUAUUUUACAGGCUCACCCCUCCUACUUUUGAAAAAGUACUGGAGGGACUUGAACAGCAGCGCAAGGUCUUGAAGAAUGAAGUUCCACCUUGUCAAACAUAUAGCAAACUCCAAGGAAAUGAAUCAUUUCCUCUACUUGGCAUCGAGUUCAUCGUGAUGUAUGAUUUAUUUGUCAAAGAACCCAAUUCCCCAGAAGCACAUUUUCUGUGUUUGCUCUGUGAGAGGAGGCUGUCAGAGCACGAAUGCCACGACCAUAUAUUCAGCCGUGAACACGUGGCAAAAUUCCUGGACUGUUUCCACCCAGGCUCACUGGAUUCCAACGCUGAUGCAGAGACACUACUGGACUUGGCAAAACAGGCAGCAACAAUUCACAAUAAAUCUCACAUACAGGCAAUAUAUUUGCAGCGUCCGAUUAAGGAGCCAUACUCCUACUCCCAAGCAACAAGAAUCUUGGAAUGUGUAAAUAGGAAAACUGGGAACAAAAAGCUUAAACCCCAAAUAAAACGUAAUAGAAAACUGGUUCCGAGGAUAACUGUAAAAGAUGAGCAAUGUGUGAGAGUUGUCUGUCAGAAAAACAGCAGCACCAGCAUAGCCGGUGUAGAAGAAAUCAAAAAAGAGCGUGACGAGGAAACACCGACACCAAGUGAAAAUGACUCGGCGUUGAAAAGUGAGGUGGCUUCCAAAACUACUUCAGAAGUGAUGGCGAAUCCAGGUGAGGUGUGUCGGGCGAUAAAGCAGGAGCCAGAAGAGGCUAAAAUAAAAGGAUCAACUGGGGCGAAGCAAGGCUGCCACAACACCAACAAAGAUAAUGGUGCAGAUGCUGGGAUAGAAGAUGGCAGAAGUAGCAAAGAUGUCCCAGCACAGCUGAAGAAUUACAAAGAAAUGGAAAGAAAAAGACAGCACGGUGUGUCUGAAACAUCGCAAGAGGACUCAUGUCCUGCUGAGUGUGUGGGGAGAGAAAUGGGCCCUAAAAGACAGCGUCUGACCUCCAGAGAAGACUCGUGUGAUGAAGCCCCAAAAAUGUCUGAUAUUAGAAUAAAGAAGGAAAAAAAUGAAGAUGAAGCCUGCAAAGCAGCAAUUGACAAAGGUUUUAGCGCCCUGCUUAAAUGCUGCUGUCCUCAGCAUGAGCCGGUCUACCUCUGCGAGUCCUGCUCUUUGAAGAUCUCAGAGAAGGACAUCGUCAGGCAUCUGACUGGAUUUGAUCAUCACAAGCUCCAGCCGGUGGAUGUUUAUGUAAAUGAAGAAGUUUACAGUAAGGUCUCAAAACAAAGCUUUCAAUCGGCUAUAGAGACAGUGAAGGCAUUUCAGACUUCAUCCUCAGCUCCUACCUGCGUAAAACCUGUGGACACUUCAGUCGACCAACAUGAUGACAGUACAAAGGGCAGCAUGAAGGUGGUGAAGAUGGAGAUUGAUGACAAUCAGGAGGAGUCUGCGUUAUUUAAAGGCACCUCUGAGGCAGGACUUGAGUUAUUCCAAUCAACUGAAGAGGACAAAAAGAGUACCAAAGCACCCAAGCCAGCUAGCAAAUUUGUCACUUGUCCAAUUACUCCCAAAAGUGGAGAAAACGUAAGCCCGUGUGUGUCAAAUGCAAGUGGCACAAAGACUGCCUCCAAAGCUGGUAUUACUCCAAACACAAGUGUGGAAUCAAUAAAAAUUGCUUCCAAGCCUGACAUGGAAGAAGUGAGACCGGUUACGUCCAUGUGCACUGCAGCCACUGCUAAAAAUCCUGCAACUUCUUCCCAACGGAUAGGAACUGCCUCCACCUCUAAGGUAUCUGCCUCAAAUGUCAAGUCAACUGCAGAAUCUCCAGCAGUGCGCAGAACUGGAGCUGCAUCGAGAGUGAGGGCUACUUCUUUAAACGGUACACCUCCUCAGACUGAAUCCACAGUGGUGCGAGAGGCUACUUGCAAAACUGCACCUUCCUCCAGAAGUGAAAAGUUUCCAUCUCAUCAGUUAAAAACCAAAGCCACCCCUCAAAUGGCACCUGUGGCUAAAAAGCCCAGAACCUCAGUUAGAUCUGAAAGUGUGGAGACUCCUGCAAAGGCCGUACAUGUGAAGAAUUCAGAGGGGCCAAAUGCACCACAUUGUCAUAAAAGUAACAAACCUGACGCUCCUCAUCAGGCCAAGGGCACAUUUGUCAGGCCUGAACACAAGAAGCCACCCACAGAGCCACCCCAAACCUCUAUGAGUAAUAAGACAAAGCCAAGUGAAGGUCUUCCUAAAAUAGGCUUAAAUGAGCUGAUUGUGGUAUUUUGCGAGGAGAAGCAGCAAGUCUACUGUAAGCUGUGUUCAGUGAAGCUAACCAGUUCCAGUGACUAUCAUCUAAUCAGCUUAGACCACUGGAAAAAAUAUGUGAAAACAAAGUAUCCUGAAUGGACCGCAAAGCCAUCAGAGAUGGAGAAAAAACUGAACGAGAUAGCGAUUCCCUUGACCGAGGCUGAGAGGAGUCUCGGACAUCGCAGACCACAGAUUCUGAAAGUGAAGAAGGACAUGUAUGAAAAGCUGGCACAUCUUCGAGAAGAUGAAGCUGUCAAAUAUGUGAGGUCAAUGAGUAAGAGAAGCUUGCGGCUCUCAUCAACCUCCCCAGCUGAUUCUGCCUCUGCCAGUCCAUGCGACGUUUCAAGCUCAGAUGAUGGGAUAAAUAAAAUGUCAGAACUUUCUACUUACGAAUGUUCAACGGUGGAGAACAAAAACCAGCACCAGGCACUGUUGAUCCAGAAGGAAGAAAUGAGCUCUAACUCAAAAGUGGAAGCGGACCUGACUGCAUGGGAGCCAAUCGGACAGAGCUCGGAAGGUGAAGACAUACAAUCUGAUGACAUGAUUCUAGAUGAGCUUCAAGACGAGGAAAUGGCAGAAAUUGAGGAUUUAGAGGAAGAUGUAGAGGUUCAGACUUGCACUGAAGUUAUGUCUGAAAUACAGAGUCCUGAACUUCAUGGCACUGACUCGGACAUCUUUGCUGAAUCCCCUGGUGGAGGCACUAGCGACCACAGACCAAAGCAGUUGAAGAGCGAAGAAUUUCAGGACACCUGGACAUUGCCAGCAUGCCCACAAACAGCUUUGCCUGUAAAAUUCAGCUGCUCAGAGCCGUUCUCUGUAGCUCCUUCAGCUUAUACAGAAGGGCAGAACCAGCUGAGACCAAGGCAGAAGAUGGACCACGUGUCUAGAGGCAAUCCAGUAUCUGAAGAGCACAGCGCAUCACAGGCAUUCUUAAGAACUCCAACAGAGGGAAGAAAUCAGCGCUCUAGUUCUGACAGCCAUUUGAUCCUAUUCUUGAAAACAAAGGGACUGGAUGCAGAACCAAUUGUUGGUCAGGGUUAUGUGUUGGAGUGCCGCGGGAUUUCUUUGGAAACCAUUUUCUUAUGCACGUGCUGCGAGAAGGUGCUCUCUCACCGUGACGUCUGUCAGCACAUGGUCAGCUCUGACCACCAGUUCGAAUACAUGCGGAAAGAACACCCUGGGUUUCUCCACAAGUUCUGGGAUGAAGACCUGCCUCUGGACAAGAGACUGGGACUCUUAAAGAAAGUUUCCUGGAAGAUUUCAGAGCGGGAGCAGGAUGAAAAACCAAAGGUUACAACGCUGACAAAGGAGUUGCAUGAACGUGUUCAGACAGCUCCAUUCAGUGAAGCUGUAAAAAUGGUGCAAAAUAUGCAUACGGACAAAUCAAAUAAACUGGGCAUGGCGCAGGACAUCGAUAAACACAGUGUCUUGGAACCACAGCACAAGAGUCAGCAGUCUGAUGAGCGGCCAAUUCCAAAUGAGUCUCUUACCACAGAAAUGCAAUCAGCUUAUAGACCUGAGCGAUACCACAGAAGUGACAAUGGUCCAUAG
rnacentral:lncRNA from 1 species